rnacentral:rRNA from 1 species
AGUGAACGCUGGCGGUAGGCCUAACACAUGCAAGUCGAACGGCAGCACAGUAAGAGCUUGCUCUUACGGGUGGCGAGUGGCGGACGGGUGAGGAAUACAUCGGAAUCUACUUUUUCGUGGGGGAUAACGUAGGGAAACUUACGCUAAUACCGCAUACGACCUACGGGUGAAAGCAGGGGAUCUUCGGACCUUGCGCGAUUGAAUGAGCCGAUGUCGGAUUAGCUAGUUGGCGGGGUAAAGGCCCACCAAGGCGACGAUCCGUAGCUGGUCUGAGAGGAUGAUCAGCCACACGGGAACUGAGACACGGUCCAGACUCCUACGGGAGGGAGCAGUGGGGAAUAUUGGACAAUGGGCGCAAGCCUUAUCCAGCCAUACCGCGUGGGUGAAGAAGGCCUUCGGGUUGUAAAGCCCUUUUGUUGGGAAAGAAAAGCAGCAGGUUAAUACCCCGCUGUUCUGACGGUACCCAAAGAAUAAGCACCGGCUAACUUCGUG